rnacentral:rRNA from 1 species
GAUGAACGCUGGCGGCGUGCCUAAUACAUGCAAGUCGAGCGAACAGACGAGGAGCUUGCUCCUCUGACGUUAGCGGCGGACGGGUGAGUAACACGUGGAUAACCUACCUAUAAGACUGGGAUAACUUCGGAAAACCGGAGCUAAUACCGUAUAAUAUAUUGAACCGCAUGGUUCAAUAGUGAAAGACGGUUUUGCUGUCACUUAUAGAUGGAUCCGCGCCGCAUUAGCUAGUUGGUAAGGUAACGGCUUACCAAGGCAACGAUGCGUAGCCGACCUGAGAGGGUGAUCGGCCACACUGGAACUGAGACACGGUCCAGACUCCUACGGGAGGCAGCAGUAGGGAAUCUUACGCAAUGGGCGAAAGCUUGACGGAGCAACGCCGCGUGAGUGAUGAAGGUCUUCGGAUCGUAAAACUCUGUUAUUAGGGAAGAACAAAUGUGUAAGUAACUAUGCACGUCUUGACGGUACCUAAUCAGAAAGCCACGGCUAACUACGUG